rnacentral:rRNA from 1 species
GAUGAACGCUGGCGGCGUGCCUAACACAUGCAAGUCGAACGGAAGGACGCGAAGCUUGUUUCUCUGAUGUCAGCCGAGGACGUGUGAGUAACAUGUGGAUAACCCACCUAUAAGACUGGGAUAACUACGGGAAACCGUAGCUAAUACCGGAUAAUAUUUUGAAGCGCAGGGUUCAAAAGCGAAAGACGGUGUUGCUGUCACUUAUAGCUGGAUCCGCGCUGUAUGAGCUAGUUGGUAAGGUAACGGCUUACCAAGGCAACGAUGCAUAGCCGACCUGCGGGGGUGAUAGGCCACACUGGAGGUGAGACGCGGACCAGGGUCCUACGUGAGGCACCAGUCGCGAACGGUGGGCAAUGGGCGGAAGCCUGACGGAGCGACGCCGCGCGAGUGAUGAAGGUCUUCGGGUCGUAAGACUGUGUUCUUGGGGAAGAACGUAUUUGGCAGUAACUGAGCACUUCGUGACGGUACCUGAUCAAGAAGCAACGGCUAACUACGUG